rnacentral:rRNA from 1 species
UCCUCUUGUUUAUAUUUUGAGGUCUGGCCUGCUCACUGAGCGUAUUUUUAAAGAGCCGCGGUAUUUUGACCGUGCAAAGGUAGCAUAAUCAUUAGUCUCUUAAUUAGUGGCUGGAAUGAAUGGCUUGACGAGAAAUCAACUGUCUCUUAAUAAAUUUUUGAAUUUAACUUUUGAGUCAAAAGGCUUAAAUUCUUCUUUAGGACGAGAAGACCCUAUAGAGCUUGACAUUUUACUUUUAUAUAGUUUUUUGUUUGUCUUUCUAUAUUUAAUGAUGAUGUUUUGUUGGGGUGACAUGAAGAAUAAAUAAACUCUUCAUUAUUAUAUCAUUUAUUUAUGUUUGUUAUUUUGAUCCAUAAUUUAUGAUCAUAAGAUUAAGUUACCUUAGGGAUAACAGCGUAAUUGUUUUUGAGAGCUCAUAUCGACAAAGCAGAUUGCGACCUCGAUGUUGGAUUAAGAAAAAUUUUGGGUGCAGGAGCCCAAUGAUUAGGUCUGUUCGACCUUUAAAUUCUU